UACGUAGGUGGCAAGCGUUGUCCGGAAUUAUUGGGCGUAAAGCGCGUGUAGGCGGUUGUUCAAGUCAGGUGUGAAAGCCUUGAGCUCAACUCAAGAAAUGCACUUGAUACUGGAUGACUAGAGGACCGGAGAGGAUAGUGGAAUUCCCAGUGUAGUGGUGAAAUACGUAGAGAUUGGGAAGAACACCAGUGGCGAAGGCGGCUAUCUGGACGGUUUCUGACGCUAAGACGCGAAAGCGUGGGGAGCAAACAGG
rnacentral:rRNA from 1 species